rnacentral:piRNA from 1 species
UCCGAGGUGAAAUUUGAGUUUUACUGGGUC